rnacentral:rRNA from 1 species
UGGGGAAUCUUGCGCAAUGGGCGAAAGCCUGACGCAGCGACGCCGCGUGAGGGAAGAAGGCCUUCGGGUUGUAAACCUCUUUCAGGAGGGACGAAGCCACUCGGGUGAAUAGCCCAGAGGGUGACGGUACUUCCAGAAGAAGCCCCGGCUAACUACGUGCCAGCAGCCGCGGUAAUACGUAGGGGGCAAGCGUUGUCCGGAUUUAUUGGGCGUAAAGAGCGUGUAGGCGGCCGAGCAGGUCCGUUGUGAAAACUGGAGGCUCAACCUUCAGACGUCGAUGGAAACCGCUCGGCUAGAGUCCGGAAGAGGAGAGUGGAAUUCCUGGUGUAGCGGUGAAAUGCGCAGAUAUCAGGAAGAACACCCGUGGCGAAAGGCGGCUCUCUGGGACGGUACUGACGCUGAGACGCGAAAGCGUGGGGAGCGAACAGGAUUAGAUACCCUGGUAGUCCACGCCGUAAACGAUGGGUGCUAGGUGUGGGGGUGUCGACUCCCUCCGUGCCGAAGCUAACGC